CCCACUUCAUCUCUGCGCCCCACGCUCCACUCCUCAUCCAACCCAAACAACACGGUGUUUGACAGCUGCCUCAUUCUUCUUUCCUCCUUCCCCCUUGGCUCUUUCCCCGUCUUCAAGCGCGACACCACUCUUGUCUCAACCCGAUCUCGCUCUACUCUUCUUCCCCAGUCCCAGCCUUUCACAGCCACUGUCCCCCCUUAUCCCCAGCCUUCUCCCACCCCAGUUACAGGGGUCCGGAGGUUCCGUUGGGGGUGGUGACACUGCCCCUAGAGGCCAUUAUGGGAAGGCGCACUAUGAGAAAAUGAACCCCCAAUAUCCCAGGGCGGGCACAACCCCAGCACCUGCAGUGGGUGGAGCCCUCGAUUAGCUGGAGUAGGGCGGGCACUAACUGCGCUCCAAGCGAGCUUCUCACUCCCCACCCCCACCGUCCCUCUCUUCUCUGGGCGGGCCACCACGCUGGGACCUCGGCCCACAGCCGGGCUCCUCACGCGGCUCCUGUUUUAUUAACCUGCUUGUCGCUGCUCUCGCCACUGAAUAGGGCCUAGGGGGGAGAGGAGGGGAGCUGCGAGGUGGGGGCCGGGCUUUGCCGGAGAUCACCAUGGAAACAGCAGCUCGGCCAAUCAGUGGGCAGGCAGGCCGAGUGCAGCGGGCAGCUCGGUCUCUGAAGCCUCGUGCAGCCGCCGGCUGACUCCUGCCUGACAGGCGGUCCGCAACCCCUGCGAGGCAGAGACCACAGGAGCCCGGCACUGGGGACCCAGUUUCUCCCUAGUGGAAGUGUUCCGUCCAAGCCAAGGUUCCUCAUCAGUUGGGACCACUUCACUGUUUGUGUGGUAAAAGGACUGUCCCUGCACCCACGGCCAACCAAUAGCACUCCCUACUCCCUAGUUAUGACAAGCAAAGAUGACGGCACAUAUUGUUGGAUGUCCCUGGGGGCGGGGGGCAGGACUGUCCCUGGUCUGGAGCCACGGAGCAGCACCAGGCAGUUGUCACUAUGUAUGAAACUUGUUGCCCCUGAAUUGGCUUCCCUGCGGGGAAAGGAGGAGGACAUCAGGAGGGGAAGUGGAACGGGAGGAGGAGCCAGAGGGAAACAGGCUGGGGGUGGUGGGGGGUUGAAAGAGAGAGGACUCCAGGGCUGCCAAUUUGUACUGCAAGGAACAAACAAAGCAAGCUCUCUAAAUUCCUUCCUCCCUGCCCAACCUUGCCUAGCUGUCCUGCAGACUCACUCCAGACACCACAUCCAGGAAGCCCUCCCUGGUUUUCUCAUUGCCAUCAUUGGAUUUCCUUUCUUCAGAACAGCUCACCUCUGCCUCCACCACAUCCCUCUGACUCACUGCUAACAGUUGUCACCCCUGCUGAGGCAGAGCCUUCCCUCUGUCAGACCCUGACAGACUUCAUUCCUAUGUUCUGAUUUCAUCUUCACAACUCCACACCAUGCUAGGUACCAUUAUCAUCACCAUUUUCAGGUGAGGACAGUGAGGCUCCCAUUAGCAAGCUCGCUCAGAGACAGCAAUGAGGACUCGAAGCAGGUUGCUGUGUCUGAGGGCUUGCCUGUCUAGCCUCAGAUGUGUAGUGUGAAGCUUGUGCCUCCUGGUUGGGUCUGAAGCCCUUUUGCAAUGCCCAGCACGCACUGGUGAGUAGCAGGCACUGCUGAACUGCUCUGAAUAGGAUGGUGGUUCUGUGUGAAUAGCCAGGCAUCCAGCCCAAGAAGACUACCACUGAACGGCAAUUCCAGGGUGCUGGUCCCCAGAAGGCCAGCAGGGUUUGCUGUGACAUGGUCUAGUGGGAACAGUCCCAUGAAAGGAAGUACCACUGAGGCCAUUUUCCAGCCACAUUACCUCACCAGGUCUCCCAUGGACGCUGGGUCAUGGCCCCCCCUAGUGGCCAGAAGGUCACUCUGAUGACAGCGGGUGUCCACUAAUGCACCUGAAGAUCUAAAAUACAGUGAGUGGUCUUCUCACCUAACUGAAUUCUCAGACUCCAGAGCAUCCCCUUGGAGUAGAGCUAAAUGCCUCAAGUGACUGAACUUGCCCCAACUUGAGCCUGACAACACAAACCUCCACCCUACCUCUGUUCCCACAAGAAGAGUCCCUUCCCUCCACCCCUAACACAUUUGAAAAGGUGUUGCCCUCAGAGGAGUCAAUCAGAGCCCUCCUUCACAAUGGCCAGAAUGAUUCCACACUGAUCUCUGCAAGAGGGGGCUUGAGGCUGUGGGGCCAGGAAAUAGUGAAUAAUGCUACUUCCCACUCAGGUUAGGGUUUUGGUCUGGAAUCCAGGAGCUGGAGUCCCAAGGGGCUCCCAUCAGAACUGCUACCCCCCCACACACACACACAACAUGCACCACCCGCCUCCCUCAGGAACCUGACACAUGCACAGCACCUCGGCUUUGAAGGCAGGGCUCCUGGCAGGCUGCUGUUCCCAUGGCAACUCCAUCCCAGGCUGCCCUACCCAGUACUUUCCUCCACCCCCUUCCUCCACACUGAAUCCACAUCACCUUCAUUCACAGAAUGACUGCAGCAUCACAUCGACAAAGUGGACACCCCUUCCCCCAGGCCUUUCUCCAUCCUUUUUUCUCCCUCUUCUCAUUCAGUUGGAAGCCACAAGCUGGGGAGAGAAGGGGUGGAGAGAAUGAAGGUGGCAAGAGGCUGAGCUGAGGUGGGUGAAGGGAGAGGGUAGAAACUGGAGGGAGCCAUGGCUCAGCUCCCCUUCACACCAUUGUGGUCCCCAAGGUUUGAGCUUCUAUUCUCAUUCCCAGGGCUAUUUCAUCUUGGUGCAUUGGUCUGUGCCUUUGCCGAGUGAAAGUCCAAAGCAUAGACAAGCUCCCUGGUGAGCCUCAGGACUCACACUGAGCACAUCAGGUCCCAGGUGCUGUCUCCAGCACCUACCAAACUGUAAUCUCAGACCCUGGAACUCAGCUUCCAGCCCCAAGGCUGUUCCUUAUUCGGAGCUGGUGCCCCUUGCUUGGGAAAGGCACUCCUUGCCAGAGUUGGGGGGGGGGGCACUGCAACCUCCAGUAGAUCAGUGGGCAGAGCUGGAGGAGCCUCAACCCCCAGCGUUGGUUAGACACUAUGACUCCUCUUACUGGGGAAACUUGGCUUUGGCAGGUGCUGUUGGAAAGUCCAGAGAAGCCUGCUCAGAGCCAGCAUCAGUCCUCUAUCUUCAGGAGGCCUGGGGUGAUGGUCAAAACCCAGCUUUAGAGCCAGCGGCCUGGACUUGAAUUGAAAUGCCUUCAUUUAUCCUCCGCGGGAAGCUUGUCUCCUCUGCCUUGAUUCCCGUGUCUGAACAACAGAGGCAGGAAUGACACACAGGCCUUGAGCUGCACUAUUUCAUUUACUCCUUGCUGAAGCUCAGCAGGGUAGAAUGAUUGUUGUCUGAUCUGCAGAGGGAAACUGAGGCUGGGAUAGUCAAUGGCACAGCGGGACUUUGAUCAGGCAAUAGAAGGUAAUAUCUGCACAGAGUCCAUACACAGCUGCUAAGUCUGAAGGAGAGGGGUCUCGGGAGGUUAAGCUCAGGGUUGGAGCACCUGCUUGGCACUGGGUAAGUCAAGCUGCCAUGUGGUCUUACUGAGGUUCUAUAACCUAAGCUCAGGCCUCCUGUGUCCUUUGUUCUGUGUAUGUACAGCUUCUGCUGGGGACCCAGACUGUGCAUUCAUCAGCCAAAAUCAAGGUCAAGGAAAGGCUUGGUGAGACAGAAUGAUGUACUCCAGGAGGGGAGCUAGCUCUGGCCCAAGGAGUGCAGGAGUGCAUGAGCUGACAUGUUGUGAACAUCUCUGUCUAGCCAAACACUUGACCAUGGACAUAGAAGAAGGUGAGGCCUCAGGAUGAAGAGACUUGUUCAACUGGUAUUUAUUUGGUUGACCCUUCCUCCAUACGAUGCAGCCUCUGGGCUUAGAAUCCUCUAGAAAGGAGCAGAAAUCCCUAAGGAAGCAAGGCUUGAAACUAAAGGACAGCCCAGGGAACUCAGUUCCUCUCCUGCCAGCCCCACAGCUUCCCAUCUACCUACAGCCACCCCCAGUUUUUUAAGGGAUCCUUCACUCCCUAAGUAGGCUAGCCACUCUGGGAAUUUCAGUGUGCUGGAACACACACACACACACACACACACACACACACACACACACACCAGCCCCAAUCCCCUACCUUGAGUGAACAAGCCAAACAAACAGCAUUGUUCUCCUACACAAUGGACACAAAGAACUUGGGAAUUCACAGAAUGGUCCUGAAUUUCAGCUUCCUUCCCCUCCAAGCCCUAGAGAGCUCCAUUGUCUGCAAACUCCACUUAAAAUACGCACCACUGCUCCAGCUGUGGAGGCACUUAAGACUUAAGGAAGCACCCCCCCUUCUUCCCUCCCAGUACCCUGCCGAGCUAGUGGGGAGGAGGGGAGCAGGGAAGCAACAGCCUACAGUCCCUGCACCGGUGGCAAGCUGGAAAUGACUCUGCCCUUGGGGGCGCCCAUUUUAUAGCUGAAAAGCCCAACAGCCCAUGAUCUAAGGACAGAGUCCCUCCUCCGUUCAUCCUUGAAGGAAUACCACCCAGUUCCCCUAAGGCUCAAGAGACUGGUCCUUCACUGGCAUGUGGCUUCUGGAAUCAAAGUCUGUCAUUAUGCUCUCCUGAGGUACUCUUUCCCUCCAGAACAACUCACUUCUCCUGGAUGCUACUAAUCAGUAGAUUUAAGUCCCUCCCCCAUGCUAUAUCCUUUACCACAGCAUUCCUGAGUAGUUGUUCAACAAGCACUAAGUAUAUUCCAGAAAGCCCAGUGGUGGUGAUGCACACUUUUAAUCCCAGCACUAAGGAGGCAGAAGCAGGUAGAACUCCCAGUUCAAGGCCAAACCUGGUCUACAGAGGUAGUUCCAGGAUACCCAGGGCUACACAGAGAAACUCUGUCCAGAAAAAGCAUGUGGGUGGGGGUAUCUUCCAGAGAUCAGGCCCUGUGCCUGGAGCUAGAUAUCAGACAAGACCCCAGAUCUCCAGGUAAGCAUGCCGAUUAAUGCAUAAUUACCAAGUAAGAUAAAGGGUCUGAUUAUGUGAAUUUGGGGGAAGCAUCUAACAAAGGAUUCUUGACUAGUGGAAGGGAACUGAGUAGCCACCAACUAUCUGUGCAAAGGCCCUGUGGCAAGGGCAUGUUGUUUUAUCCAAAGAACUGAAGAUGCCAUUGGGAUUGGAGGCCAGUGGAAUUUGGAGAUGAGGCAUUUGAGCAACUGUGAGGGGUCUGAUUCUAGAGCAAGAAAAAGACAUAAAAGUAUGCAGGAACAGCUGGUUGACUUUUAUGAAUAUUUGGUAAAAUUGAGGGUUUUAUAUAGCCCAGAUGUCCUGGAACUCACUAUGUAGACGGGGCUGGCCUUGAACUACUGAUCUUCCUGACUCUGUCUCCUGAGUGCUGGCAUUACAAGCAUACACCACCACAUACAUCAAGGUUGGUUGAUUUCUGCCUCAGAAAGUCACAGAUCCACGCAGCACUGGGGACGGAGCUCAGUGGGAUGCUUGCCUAGCAUGCACAACACCCUGAGUCUAAUUUCCAGCACCACAUAGGUCAGACAGGGCGGUGCAGUGCAUAGCUGUAACCCAGCACUUGGGUGGUAGAGGAAAAAAGCUCAGAAAUUCAAGGUCAAUAUCAGCAGAUUCUAGGUCAGCUUGGGCUACAUGAACCCUUUCUCAAGAAAGAAAAAGAGAAGGGGUGGGGGUGGGAAGAAAGGGAUAAAGAAGGAAGGAAGGAAGGAAGGAAGGAAGGGAAGGAAGGAAGGAAGGAACAGAAGGAAGGAAGGAAAGACUGACCUCAGAUCCUUGAAGUCGCUGCUCUCAACUCCAUACCCUUGCACAUACUCUUCUCUCUACCCAGGAUGCUCUGCUUUCAGGACCUUCAUUCAAGUCUUUGACCAAACUAUUCUCCCCUCCCCCACCAAAAGAGCAGCUCUCCCUACAUACACUGCCAUGCUACUAUUUAGAAAGUUUGGUCCUUUUCAUAGCAUUUACAUGGCC
rnacentral:lncRNA from 1 species